AGAGUUUGAUCAUGGCUCAGAGUGAACGCUGGCGGCAUGCCUAACACAUGCAAGUCGAACGGCAGCAUGAGGUGUAGCAAUACACCUUGAUGGCGAGUGGCGGACGGGUGAGGAACACAUCGGAAUCUGCCCGGUCGUGGGGGAUAACGUAGGGAAACUUACGCUAAUACCGCAUGAGACCGAGAGGUGAAAGCGGGGGAUCGCAAGACCUCGCGCGAUUGGAUGAGCCGAUGUCGGAUUAGCUAGUUGGUGGGGUAAAGGCCUACCAAGGCGACGAUCCGUAGCUGGUCUGAGAGGAUGAUCAGCCACACUGGGACUGAGACACGGCCCAGACUCCUACGGGAGGCAGCAGUGGGGAAUAUUGGACAAUGGGGGCAACCCUGAUCCAGCAAUGCCGCGUGUGUGAAGAAGGCCUUCGGGUUGUAAAGCACUUUUAUCGGGAACGAAACAUUGUCGGUGAAUAUCCGGCAAGACUGACGGUACCCGAGGAAUAAGCACCGGCUAACUUCGUGCCAGCAGCCGCGGUAAUUC
rnacentral:rRNA from 1 species